ensembl:lncRNA
UUGUGAGCACUGGGGACAGAGCAGAGAAGCCAAUGGACAGAGUCCCAGUCCUCUCACUUUGACUAUGUUGACUGGUGUGUGGUACCCAUGGUAUUGUAGCUAGCCAUGGUAGUUAGUGCUUUUCACCGUGUUUCCUAUGGAGUGCUUCCAAUAUAUUUGGAGGGAGGAAGCAGUCCAACUCUGGCCGGCUCUUCGAGUCUGGGAGCGUGCAGGAGGGCCCUUGCCUCAUGCGUACCACACUACAUGCACUCGGAGCAUGUGUCUCCUCUCUGUUUCCUGAACCCUGUUCUGUGGGAGCCCAUUGGUGAGGCUGAGUGUGGUGAAGCCAGAACAUGACCCGAGCAGAAUAUGCCAAGGGUAUUCACUGCUGGACCUCUGUUUUUAGACAGCUCAAUGGCAAACUCAAUGUGGUCCUGAUGAUGUACUCAUUUCUGGUUUAGGUCAACACCCCAGUUCAUUGGGCAUGGUAUUAUCAAAGCCAAGUUGCAAAGUCUGAUUCCCCACCAAGAUCAGCCAAUUUUAGGAAUGUCUAAGAACUAUACCCAUGAGUGGCCACCCCCUUGCUAGUCUGUACUUAUAACAGAAAGAUAGGCAAGACUCUGCUGAUGGGCAACUCUAACUCUUGCUGGAAAAUCAGUUCCAGGUGGGCACCUCACAGAAGGCAACACUCAACUUGCUAUUUGCAUGCCUAGAGUAUAUUUCUAAUCAUCCCAGUGUCACAGUAGUCGACUCUAAGCCACUUCUGAACUGUCCCUAUUUAUGACAGAGCUGAACAAUCAUGGGGAACAAGGAAAGACCAAAUGGAAUCUCGAUUGUAAGAGAAUUUUAAUAACCUAUUGUAGUCAUUUCUACUUAUGACAUUAUAGCAGCUUUAGAGCUGUGAACAAAUACCAAGAUGGAUUGAGUCAAUUCUUUCCCUGUUCUAUGAUUCCCUUCAUAGAAACAUAACUGGAUAUUUGUGAUUUAGCGGUAUCAUUUAAAAACCUUUUUUGUAUAAAUCUAUUGAAUUUUCAGAAUUCCAAACAAAUUUUCGUUGCUGCACCUACUUUAAAAGUCAGAUUUAUAAGAAGAAGCAUGUGGUAGGAGCUUGUUACUGUGUGACCAUAAUCGUGGAUGGUGGGUUAAGCUUAACAAACAUUAAUAAAGGAUGCCAAAUUUGGUAAGGGUGAAAGAAGGCAAAAAAUAGUGAAGUCACCCCUACACUACUUUUAAAUUAAAAGAGACAGGCGAAAGAAGGAUGAGGAAGUGAACGGAGCUUUUUGUCACUCAUUGAGCAUUUUUUGAUUCAUUGAAUGACAAAUGUUGGCUUACUGACUACGGUCAACCUCUCUAUCUAUUUUCAAAUGUUUCAUACGAAUUUUCUUUUGUAAACUUUGCUUUCAUUAGGACAAUGGUGAAGAAGUCAUCAAAAACAGGAUGUUUGUUCUGGUAAACGUUCUGUAUAUCUAAGUGUGUGUUUAGAAUUUUUAUUAUUAUUAUUCUGGGAUAACGUUCAGGAAUGAAGAAGGAGAAGGUAGUGUGUGAUGAAAAAGGAAAGUAUAUCUAACAUUUGGGGCUUUUAACACCCAAACUAACGCCCUUAAAUUUGGACUUCGUGAAGUGUUUUUCAGUUUCUCAAUCUAUUAUGCCUAUUAUGGUUCCUGGGCAAUCACGGUGAAGGAAAUUGAUCAUGUACCUUCAGAGUUACGCUGUGUGUGGAUAAUGCUAGAAGUUUCCCUACCUUUAAGACACAUGCGACCACAAGAACAGAUUCACAGUCCAGGUUCACUUUGUCCCCAGCAUUUAAUGUCUCCUUUAGGCUCUGCAUAAUUUCAUAUUGGCCGAUUUUCUGAAUAUGCCCUCUGUGAGCGGCCCAUUUUUGCUUGAGAAAGCAAAGCAUAUCCUAUAGGGAAGAAGAGAAAGGAAAAAUCAAUGGCACCUCGUAUCCAGGAGCCCAGAGCACCAGCUCCCCCAUUGUCGGAGCUGGGGUAAGCGAGGUGCAGUGCUGGGGGGCGGGGGGCAUGCAAGCAAACGUA